AUUGAACGCAGGCGGCAUGCCUUACACAUGCAAGUCGAACGGCAGCACGGGAGCAAUCCUGGUGGCGAGUGGCGAACGGGUGAGUAAUAUAUCGGAACGUGCCCAGUCGUGGGGAUAACGUAGCGAAAGCUACGCUAAUACCGCAUACGAUCUAUGGAUGAAAGCGGGGGAUCGCAAGACCUCGCGCGAUUGGAGCGGCCGAUAUCAGAUUAGGUAGUUGGUGAGGUAAAGGCUCACCAAGCCGACGAUCUGUAGCUGGUCUGAGAGGACGACCAGCCACACUGGGACUGAGACACGGCCCAGACUCCUACGGGAGCAGCAGUGGGAAUUUGGACAAGUGGCGCAAGCCUGAUCCAGCAAUGCCGCGU
rnacentral:rRNA from 1 species